GGCAGCGCGGACUUCGGUCUGGCGGCGAGUGGCGAACGGGUGAGUAAUGUAUCGGAACGUGCCCAGCUAGCGGGGGAUAACUACUCGAAAGAGUAGCUAAUACCGCAUACGCCCUACGGUGGAAAGGGGGGGAUCGCAAGACCUCUCACUAUUGGAGCGGCCGAUAUCGGAUUAGCUAGUUGGUGAGGUAAAGGCUCACCAAGGCGACGAUCCGUAGCUGGUUUGAGAGGACGACCAGCCACACUGGGACUGAGACACGGCCCAGACUCCUACGGGAGGCAGC
rnacentral:rRNA from 1 species